UGCUGGGAUGACAGGCAUGAGCCACUGCGC
rnacentral:piRNA from 1 species